UUAAAGUUUUAAUGGCUCAGGACGAACGCUGGCGGCGUGCUUAACACAUGCAAGUCGAGCGGUAAGGCCCUUCGGGGUACACGAGCGGCGAACGGGUGAGUAACACGUGGGUGAUCUGCCCUGCACUUCGGGAUAAGCCUGGGAAACUGGGUCUAAUACCGGAUAUGACCUUCGGCUGCAUGGCUGAGGGUGGAAAGGUUUACUGGUGCAGGAUGGGCCCGCGGCCUAUCAGCUUGUUGGUGGGGUAAUGGCCUACCAAGGCGACGACGGGUAGCCGACCUGAGAGGGUGACCGGCCACACUGGGACUGAGACACGGCCCAGACUCCUACGGGAGGCAGCAGUGGGGAAUAUUGCACAAUGGGCGAAAGCCUGAUGCAGCGACGCCGCGUGAGGGAUGACGGCCUUCGGGUUGUAAACCUCUUUCAGCAGGGACGAAGCGAAAGUGACGGUACCUGCAGAAGAAGCACCGGCCA
rnacentral:rRNA from 1 species